rnacentral:rRNA from 1 species
GACGAACGCUGGCGGCGUGCUUAACACAUGCAAGUCGAACGGAAAGGCCCUGCUUUUGUGGGGUGCUCGAGUGGCGAACGGGUGAGUAAAACGCGAGUAACCUGCCCUUGUCUUUGGGAUAACUUCUGGAAACUGGGGCUAAUACCGGAUAGGAGCUCCUGCUGCAUGGUGGGGGUUGGAAAGUUUCGGCGGUUGGGGAUGGACUCGCGGCUUAUCAGCUUGUUGGUGGGGUAGUGGCUUACCAAGGUUUUGACGGGUAGCCGGCCUGAGAGGGUGGCCGGCCACAAUGGGACUAAGAUACGGACCAGACUCCUACGGGAGGCAGCAGUCGGGAAUAUGACACAAUGGGCGGAAGCGUGAUACAGCAACGCCGCGUGCGGGAUGACGGCCUUCUGGUUGUAAACCGCUGUCGCCUGUGACGAAGCGUGAGUGACGGUAAUGAGUAAAAAAGCACCGGCUAACUACGUG